rnacentral:misc_RNA from 1 species
UUCAGAAUAACACUAUUUAAGAAUGUAACUACAUCAGCUAGAAAGUUACAAAAUGGAUCUGUUUAAUUGAUCCAAAUGAUUCUCCUUAAAGCUAAAGCUAAAAAAGAGAUAAAAAUGGUAUCUGCAAAGCAAAAACUUCUUGGGAAUCAGAGUAUAAGAAGAGCCUACUGUACUUUAUGCUAUGCAGCAACCAUGAGAGGAGUAUAAACGAACGCCAUGGAGGUCAAAAAUGAAAUCCGCCAAAUCCCCCUCCCCCGCCUCCACCUGGAAAUCCUCCUUCAAAGUG